GUUUUACAGACAAUUGAUAUGGGUUAGUGAUGUUGAUAAAUCUAAAGGAUACGCUGUUGAUUUCUUGUCAAUUUCUCUUCAUGGUGUUUUUCCGAUGAGAUUACUGGAAUCCCAGUAUUAUUCAUUUCAGCACUAGAGGGAAGGGGCCAGACAACCUUCUUGCACCAAGUCAAUAAAGUAGAGCCUUUAAAUCUGAGAUUGAUGGCAAGAAAUUUUUCAAGCCCAAUUUGGAACCUGAUCACCUUGCAGCUUGGGGAAGGAAACUGCAACAAACUUACAACAGAAAUGUUUCUAUGUUCACAUAUCUAUUGAUUCUUUCUUGCUGAUAUGCAUGUGAUAUAGAAUGGUUCACUUCUUUGAUAAGUAAUUUAUAAAUAAAUUACUUGUGUUUUGGGUAGGUAUUUGAUAUAACUUCAUUAGGUCAAUUGAUUCACGACUGAUCUUAUAUACUAAGUAUUUUGGACUUACAAAAUUGAGGGAUUUCAAAUACAAUCUUUUAAGAGAUAAUUUCAUAAUCCCCCCUGUCACAAGUAAAUAUUAGCUAAAGAUAUUAUUUUUUAAAUUGCUUUGUGUCAUGGGUACUUAGAAUAUUUGUGUUUUUCUUUAGAUAAAAUGUUAAUAGCUCACAUGACUUUUAUUUAUUUUUACAUUUUCUUCUUUUGUUCAACAAGCUUUACCUGUUAUUGUUGUGAAUUUGAUGAGAUUCAUGGGGUUAGCGAGACAGGGAUGAAGCUUGUCAGCUUUGACGACGCCAAUGGUGGCAUGGCUACGAGCACUGCAUCUGAAUCUUGAGACGAUAUUUGAAUCUUGAUACCAUGUUAGAAUGAUUAAUAUUGUUCACAAUUCUCUUGGAAUAUAUGUGAGAAAUUCUGUUAUUGAUUUAUCUAAAGCUUACAAUUGAGAUCUUUCUAACAAUCUAUUGUAGUAGGUGAGUGUUUGGGACUGACUUGGUUGUUUUUAUUAAGCAAUAUGCAGUAGCAUAAGGGCAACCUUAACAUUGAUGUUCAUGCAUCUAAAGAAUUAUUUAUCAAGGAGGAGUCCUUCAUGUUUGUCGAAAUGUUCAGAUAGUGCAGUUGAACCAACACUGACCCCAAUUUCAAUUCCCAAGAGCAGUGACAAUGCAUUAGACUUGAUUUUUAGUUGGAUGGUUUUUUGAUUGUUUCAUUGCAAAAGAGACCAAUUAGAGCGUCAGAAAGAAGAAGAGAUGCUAAAAAUUGAUUUCGAUAGAUACAAAAUGGGUUGAAGAAUGGGAAUGAAGAAUGGGCAGAGUAUUAUAUUCCCUGGUGAAGCUGAAAAAGUGCCGAAUACAGUUACUAGAGAUAUCGUAUUUGUGCUUCAACAGAAGGAGCAUCCCAACUUUAGAAGAAGUGGUGAAGAUCUUUUAAUUAGAGUUGUAAAUUUGUUUGCCCCGAUGAUGGUUGCUCAGGUGAUGUUGCUGGUUGUUCAUAUGAUUUGAAGGAGAUGCUAGAAUAUUUAUAAAAUUUUGCACUUUGUUCCAGGCUUCUCACAAGAUCUCUAAUAUGUGUUACACUAUUUAGAAAAUAUUUAUACAAAUUUGCAUUUUGUGGCAGGUUGCUUAAGUCAUAAGGGAUGGAUAUGUUGUAGGUUGCUCACAUUGAUUUGAAGGAGAUGCUAAAAUCAUGUUUGGGAGUCAUACUUGAUUGUGAGAUUUGAUUUCUUAAUUUUUUUUCAUUUUGAUUUGAAUAAGUUGCAUAACUUACUUUGAUUGUUAAUAGAGCUAGAGGAGAGUGCAUAAUUGUAUUGUUACAAACAUUCAAUUCUAAUGUUUUACUGCCUUGCUAUGAAGUUAUGAAUUUAAUCUUUUGC